GUGCGCAAUCACAACGAACGGGCCAGAACAGAUUCGUCUCCAAUAUCAUCCUUCGCAGAAUGAAACUAGGGACUGUAGCUGCCAUAUUUGUCAUGGCAGCCCUGGGCAACGAUUGGAACAGGGGUACAUCGGCAUUUGGACCCGUUUCGAAGAGAGUUGACCCGAUACAAGAAAAUAAGAAGAUCUUGUUGAGGAACCAUCUACGAUUAUCCACCCGCAACAUACUUACCCUGAACAGUGCUCCUUAUGAAGAACGCCUACCACUGAGUCAUCAGAACAGGUUUUUUAUUGAAUUUGAUUUCAACAACUUCAAUGGAGAUUGUGCGGCCAGCGCUCACUACGGUCCCACGGUUAAACGGGGUUCACUGCUACAGCUAUGCGACAAUCUUCCUAAUCCGUCAAUCAAAAUCGACAGUGA